ensembl:lncRNA
AUGGGAUGGAGCUCUUUUCUUCACCGGCAUCUUAAAUGCAGUCUAAAUGAUCCAUCAUGCCCUGCACACAGCAAAAGGAAUAGCAGACAGAUUUGGAGCAUAUGUUUUUGCAUCACCUGGAUGUGGCUGGGAACAACUGGCACUGCUGUCCUGGAAGUGACAAUUGACAAGAUUUUACCUGUUCUACAGUAUAAAGCAUUGGCUCACCUGUGGCGUGCAUGAAAUUCUUUAAGGGAGGGAGUUCUUCUUGAUGUCCCCCUGCUCUGACCAACAUGAGUGAAGAAGUUUGCCUUUGUUUCACCAAAGGUGUUGGUCUGUGUAAAAUAGUAUAAAAAAGACACAUCCCAAAAAUUGAGUAAUUUUUAGCCUUCUGAGUCUGUGUCACUGUAGUGUUAAACAGUGUGACCGAGCAGAGAGGCUUCCACCACUAUUUUGGGUAUCAGCUGGGUGACACGAGGCUGCUGUCACACCUGUCCUUUACUUUGAUCCCUCUUUGUAACAUGGACGUUUUGGGCAAAAUGCAAGCUGCCCUGCAAAAUACCAUUUUGAACUUUUUAGCAGAAACCUUUUGCUAAAUAUUGCAUCUGACUGCCUGUGAAUAAUAAGUUUGCCUGCUCAUAAAAAUCAUGUUGAAGGCCCACUGACAGCAGCGGCUAAUAUCACAAUACAUUGCUCUCUAGUGGUGUGAAAAUUAUUAUUCAAUAGAUGCAUUUCCAAAUUACCCUUAAAUUAUCGGUCUAGGAUCACGCUAUCAAGAAAGUCAGACCCGAACUGCAGAAGAGCACAAUUGUAACUACUUUCCCAACUGUUAAAUUGCAAUUAAACCUAUAUUAAGCAACCCUUUGAUGUGCCUUUUACUUAAUUCUUAUAAUUUAACUUAGAACUGUUGAUUGUAGUUAUUUGAAAUAAUGGAUACAAUUUCAGUAGGGCCCAGCAUAAUUGUGGAGACAUUUGUAAGAUUUGAGUCACUUUUUAAAGGUUUAUAUGAGAAACAGAUUAUUUUAGUUGCAAGUUUCUCAUAUUACUGCUAUAUUUUUAAUAUUUGGUGAUAACCAACUUAAGUAAAAUAGUUUACCCUGGUAAUGAGAUUUUUCUUUUAGCUCUUUAUGUAGACACUAUUUAGAAAGGAAUUUUAGCUUGGUUUUCCACUAGUUCUCUCAUCCUUUCAAUAACUGAGUAUAAUUUAAAGUUUUGUUAGUAUUUAACCCCAUUUCCCUCUAGAUUAAUUAUCCUAAUAUAAAACAAAUGUGUGUUAAACAUAUGUAGUUGCUUACGGAAGCAGAUUUGGCUGUUUCAUUUAAUAUAAGUCUCUUGUUGCACUAAACAAACCCGUCAUAUUUAAGAUUUCUCUGGUCAUUAAAACUGAAUUAUGUAAUAGGCUUCCAUCUGCCAUUGAAACCUGUUCAUCAUUAUUUUGUGUCAUUUUAAGUGGGAGCAUUCUGAGAAAUGCUUGGUGACAGCAGGCUUGGCUCUCCUGGCUCUGAGAGCAGGGCAGGACAUAGCUUCCUUCCUUUCCAGCUGCAAAAAAUGAACAUGUGGCCUUCUGAGAAGGUUUUCUCCAAGAGUUUGGUCCUCACUUCUCCAGCCUUUCCAUCUUCUGCAAAAUAAUAAUAAAAUAAAUUCUGUAUUUCGUUUGUGCUGCUAAACUGUGUGCGAGGCAAGCUCCUCCCCACAUCCUCCCCAGGCAGUUGAGCUGAUUGCUGUGGGAUAAAGGCAGCGCUGCCAUCCAUCAACCCCAGCCCUGCUCUGGGUGACACUGAUGG